GAUGAACGCUGGCGGCGUGCUUAACACAUGCAAGUCGAACGAAGCACUUAAUGAGAUUUCUUCGGAUUGAUUAUUUUGUGACUGAGUGGCGGACGGGUGAGUAACGCGUGGGUAACCUGCCCCAGACCGGGGGAUAACAGUCGGAAACGACUGCUAAUACCGCAUAAGCGCACAGUGCCGCAUGGCACGGUGUGAGAAACUCCGGUGGUCUGGGAUGGACCCGCGUCCGAUUAGUUAGUUGGCGGGGUAACGGCCCACCAAGACCGCGAUCGGUAGCCGACCUGAGAGGGUGACCGGCCACAUUGGGACUGAGACACGGCCCAGACUCCUACGGGAGGCAGCAGUGGGGAAUAUUGCACAAUGGAGGAAACUCUGAUGCAGCGACGCCGCGUGAGCGAAGAAGUAUUUCGGUAUGUAAAGCUCUGUCAGCAGGGAAGAUAAAUGACGGUACCUGACCAAGAAGCCCCGGCUAACUACGUG
rnacentral:rRNA from 1 species